CCUACGGGAGGCAGCAGUAAGGAAUAUUGCGCAAUGGGGGCAACCCUGACGCAGCAACGCCGCGUGGGCGACGAAGGCCUUCGGGUUGUAAAGCCCUUUUCGGAGGGACGAGUAAGGACGGUACCUCCGGAACAAGUCUCGGCUAACUACGUGCCAGCAGCCGCGGUAAAACGUAGGAGGCAAGCGUUAUCCGGAUUCACUGGGCGUAAAGCGCGCGCAGGUGGCCUGUCAAGUCGGACGUGAAAUCUCCCGGCUCAACUGGGAGGGGCCGUUCGAUACUGUCGGGCUUGAGGGCAGAAGGGGAAGGCGGAAUUCCCGGUGUAGUGGUGGAAUGCGUAGAUAUCGGGAGGAACACCAGUGGCGAAGGCGGCCUUCUGGUCUGCCCCUGACACUCAGGCGCGAAAGCGUGGGGAGCAAACAGGAUUAGAUACCCUGGUAGUC
rnacentral:rRNA from 1 species